UACGUAGGGGGCAAGCGUUGUCCGGAAUCAUUGGGCGUAAAGCGCGUGUAGGCGGCUUGUUACGUCGGGUGUGAAAGCCCGGGGCUUAACCCCGGGUCUGCAUUCGAUACGGGCUGGCUAGAGUGUGGUAGGGGAGAUCGGAAUUCCUGGUGUAGCGGUGAAAUGCGCAGAUAUCAGGAGGAACACCGGUGGCGAAGGCGGUUCUCUGGGCCUUACCUGACACUGAGGAGCGAAAGCGUGGGGAGCGAACAGG
rnacentral:rRNA from 1 species